UUGAACUGAAAAUUGUAGGGCUUUACCCCAAAGGGAGCCCUUCCAGAAAUUCUCGAAGGCCCAAGACAAGCUUAGGCCUAGGAGGGGGUUUGGAAAUAGUUUUCAACCAGCAAUAGACGCGCCUCGGUUAGAACCUCAUUAGCUGCGUCAUUGCCCCAAGCGCAAAGAUAAGUUUGUUUCAAACACAAGCCUCUUUAUUUAUAUCCAAACAAAACCGACCAACUUGAUGCGUUCUUCCGAUGUGGUAUUCUUGUACCAAUACAAUAAAUAAA
rnacentral:sRNA from 1 species